AAGACUUUAAGUUAAAUAAACUAGUAUCCUUCAAAGUUACCAAAAAAAGAACUCUUUUAGGUCUUA
rnacentral:tRNA from 1 species